AAGUCGUAACAAGGUUUCCGUAGGUGAACCUGCGGAAGGAUCAUUACAGAGUACCGGCGCCCUCCGGGCGUCUACUCCCACCCUGUGUCUAUCGAACUUUGUUGCUUUGGCGGGCCGCGCGCCCCGGCGCGCCCCCGGCCCCAGGCUGGGGAGCGCCCGCCAGAGGACCAUUUAAAUUCUGCUCACCGUGGAAUCUGAGUGUAUACAAAAAUGAAUCAAAACUUUCAACAACGGAUCUCUUGGUUCUGGCAUCGAUGAAGAACGCAGCGAAAUGCGAUAAGUAAUGUGAAUUGCAGAAUUCAGUGAAUCAUCGAAUCUUUGAACGCACAUUGCGCCCCCUGGCAUUCCGGAGGGCAUGCCUGUUCGAGCGUCAUUUCGUCCUUCAAGCCCCGCUUGGUGUUGGGCGCAGGCCUGUCCGCAGGCCCGCCCGCAACCCUUCGGCGGCGAGCACCGUCCCCGAGCGUAGCAGAAAACCUCGCUCCGGUCCCCGGCCGUUCGCCCGCCGGACGAAAAAACAAUUAUUCAGAAGUUUGACCUCGGAUCAGGUAGGGAUACCCGCUGAACUUAA
rnacentral:rRNA from 1 species